rnacentral:rRNA from 1 species
ACCCGCUGAACUUAAGCAUAUCAAUAAGCGGAGGAAAAGAAACUAACAAGGAUUCCCCUAGUAACGGCGAGUGAAGCGGGAAGAGCUCAAAUUUUAAAUCUGGCGGUCUUCGGCCGUCCGAGUUGUAAUCUAGAGAAGUGUUAUCCGUGCUGGACCGUAUAUAAGUCCCCUGGAACGGGGCGUCAUAGAGGGUGAGAAUCCCGUCUUUAAUGCGGACUACCAGUGCUAUGUGAUGCGCUCUCAAAGAGUCGAGUUGUUUGGGAAUGCAGCUCAAAACGGGUGGUAAAUUCCAUCUAAAGCUAAAUAUUGGCGAGAGACCGAUAGCGAACAAGUACCGUGAGGGAAAGAUGAAAAGCACUUUGGAAAGAGAGUCAAACAGUACGUGAAAUUGUUGAAAGGGAAACGAUUGAAGUCAGUCGCGUCUGCCGGGAUUCAGCCUUGCUUCUGCUUGGUGCAUUUCCUGGUCUGACGGGUCAACAUCGGUUUGGACUGAUGGAUAAGGGUUGGGGGAAUGUGGCAUCUUCGGGUGUGUUAUAGCCUCUGAUCGUAUACGUCGGCUCGGACCGAGGAACUCAGCACGCCUUUAUGGUCGGGGUACGCCCACGUAACGUGCUUAGGAUGUUGGCAUAAUGGCUUUAAACGACCCGUCUUGAAACACGG